rnacentral:lncRNA from 1 species
GAGGAGGGCCAGCAAUGUCUGGUAGAGGAGGAGGAGGAAGAGGAGGAGGAGGGGUAGGAAGGCCAGUGAUGUCUGGUAGAAGAGGAGGAAGAGGAAGGCCAGCAAUGUGUCAUAGAGAAGGAGGAGGAGGAAAGCCAGCAAUGUCUGGUAGAGAAGGAGGAGGAUGAGGAGCAGGGCCAGUGAUGUCUGGUAGAGGAGGAGGAUGAGAAGGAGGAGGAAGAGGAAGGCCAGCGAUGUCUGGUAGAGAAGGAGGAGCAGGAUGAUGAUGAUGAAGAGGAGGAGGAGGAGCAGGAAGGCCAGCAAUAUCUGGUAGAGGAGGAAGAGGAUGAGGGCUCUCAAUGUCUGGAAGAGGAGGAGGAGGGGUAGGAAGGCCAGUGAUGUCUGGUAGAAGAGGAGGAAGAGGAAGGCCAGCAAUGUGUCAUAGAGAAGGAGGAGGAGGAAAGCCAGCAAUGUCUGGUAGAGAAGGAGGAGGAUGAGGAGCAGGGCCAGUGAUGUCUGGUAGAGGAGGAGGAUGAGAAGGAGGAGGAAGAGGAAGGCCAGCGAUGUCUGGUAGAGAAGGAGGAGCAGGAUGAUGAUGAUGAAGAGGAGGAGGAGGAGCAGGAAGGCCAGCAAUAUCUGGUAGAGGAGGAAGAGGAUGAGGGCUCUCAAUGUCUGGUAGAGGAGGAGGAGGACGGGGAGGAGGAGGAGGGCCAGUGAUGUCUGGAAGAGAAGGAUGAGGAGGAGGAGGAGGAAGGCCAGUGAUGUCUGGUUCAGGUGGAGGAGGAAGGCCAGCAAUGUCUGCUAGAGGAGAAGGAGGAUGAGGAGAAGCUCUUGUGAUGUCUGGUAGAGAAGGAGGAGAAUGAGGAGGAGGAGGAGGAAGGCCAGCGGUGUCUGGUAGAGGACAAGGAGGAUGAUGAUGAUGAGGAGGAGGAGGAGGAGCAGGAAGGCCAGCAAUGUCUUGAGGAGGAGGAGGCUUAGGAGCAGGAGGGCCAGCAAUGUCUGGUACAGGAGGAGGAGGAUGAGGGCCCUCAAUAUCUGGUAGAGUAGGAGUAGGAGGAGUAGAAGGAGGGCCAGUGAUAUCUGGUAGAGAAGGAGGAGGAAAAGGAAGAGAAGGAGGAGGAGGAGAGGCAUGGAUGUCCGGUAGAUGAGUAGGAGGAGGAGGAGGAAGAUGGCCAGCAAUGUCUGAAACAGGAGGAGGAGGAGGAGGAGGAGCAUCAGUGAUGUGUGGCAGAAGAGAAGGAGGAGGGCCAGCGGUGUCUGGAGGAGGAGGAGGUGGAGGAAGGGGGCCAGAGAUUUCUUGUAGAGGAGGAGGAGGGCCAGCAAUGUAUGGUAGAGGAGGAGGAAGAGGAGUUGGUGGACUAGCGAUGUCUUUUAGGGGAGGAGUGGGAGGAGGACAAAGAGGAGGAGGAGGAGGGCCAGCGAUGUCUGGUAGAGGAGGAGGAGGAGGAGGAGGAGGAGGAUGGCCAGCAAUGUAUGGUGGAGGAGGAAGAGGAGGGCCAGCAAUGUCUGAUAGAUGUGGAGGAGGAGGAGGUGGAGGAGGAGGAGGAGUGCCAGUGAUGUCCGUUCGAGGAGGAAGAAGAAGGUAAGCAAUGUCUGGUAGAGGAGUAGAAGGAGGAGGAAGAGGGCCAGCAAUAUCUGGUGCAGGAGGAGGAGGAGGGUCAGUGAUGUCUGGUGGUUGAGGACAAGGAGGAGGAUGAGGAGGAGGGACAGAGAUAUAUGGUAUAGGAGGAGGAGGUCCAGCAAUGUAUGGUAGAUGAGGAGGAGGAGGACCAGCAAUAUCUGGUAGAGGAGGAGGAGGGAGGAGGAGGAGGGCCAGUGAUGUCUGGUAGAUGAGAAGGAGGAGGAGGAAGAGAGGCAGUGAUGUCUGGUUGGGGAGGAAGAGGGGGGAGGAAAGCCAGCAACACCUGGUAGAGGAGGAGGACUAUGUGGACCCUCAAGGUCUGGUAGAGAAGGAGAAGAAAGAAGAGGAGGAGGGGCCAGCGAUGUCUGGUAGACAAGGAGGAGGAGGGGGAGAAGGAGAAGGAGGAAGAGGAGAGGCAGUGUUGUCUGUUAGAGGAGUAGAAGAAGGAGGAAGAGGGCCAGCAAUGUCUGGAGGAGUAGGGGGAGGAGGAGGAAGAGGGUCAGCGAUGUUUGCUAGAAGAGGAGGAGGAGGGUCAGUGAUGUCUGGUGGAGGAGGAGCAUGAGGAGCAGGAGGAGAAGGAGGGCCAGAGAUGUCUGGUAGAGGAAGAGGAGGGACAGCAAUGUAUGGUAGAUGAGAAGGAGGAGGAGGGCCAGCAAUAUAUGGUAGAGGAGAAGGAGGAGGAGGAAGAGGGCCAGCAAUGUCUGGUAGAGAACGAGGAGGAUGAAGAUGAAGAGGAGGAGGAAGGCCAGCAAUGUAUGGUGGAGGAAGAGGAAGAGGAGUAGGGUCAGCAAUAUCUGGUAGAGGAGGAGGAGGAGGAGGAAGAGGGCCAGCGAUGUCCAGUAGAGGUGGAGGAGGAGGGUCAGCAAUGUCUGGUAGAGGAGGAGGUGCAGAAGGAGGAGGAGGAGUGCAAGCGAUGUCUGAUAGAGGAGGAGGAGAAGGACCACCAAUGUCUGGUAGUGGAGGAGGAGGAGGAUCAGUGCUAUCUGGUUGAGAAAUAGGAGGAGGAGGAAGAAGAGGGCCAGGAAUGUCUAGUACAGGAGGAGGAGGAGGAGGGUCAAUGAUGUCUAGUAGAAGAGGAGGAGGAGGGACAGUGACGCCUGGUAGAGGAGGAGGAGGAGGAAGAGGAGGAGGAGGAGAGCCAGAGAUGUCCAGUACAAGAGGAGGAAGAGGGCCAGCGAUGUCCGGUAGAGGAGUAGGAGGAGGGUCAGCAAUGUCUGGUAGAGGAGUAGACGGAGGAGGAAGAGGGCCAGCAAUGUCUGGUAGAGGGGGAGGAGGACAAGUGCCCUGAAUAUCUCAUAGAGGAGGAGGAGGAGGAGUAACUGGAAGAGGAGGAGGGCCAGUGAUGUCUGGUAGAGAAGGAGGAGGAGGGCCAGCAAUGUCUGGUGGAAGAGGAAGAGGAGGGCCAGCAAAGUCUGGUGGAGGAGGAGUAGGAGGAGGAGGGCCAGCAAUAUCUUGUAGGGAAGGAGGAGGGUAAGGAUGAGGAUGAGGAAGGCCAACAAUAUCUGGUAGAGGAGGAGGAGGGCCAGCAAUGUCUGGUAGAGAAGGAGGAGGGGAGGGAGGAGGGGCCCAAAGUAUCAUAGAGGAGGAGGAAAUCGAGGGCCAGCAAUGUCUGGUAGAGAAGGAGGAGGGGAGGGAGGAGGGGCAGUGAUGUCUUUUAGAGGAGUAGGGGGAGGAGGAAGGGGGCCAGCAGUCUGGUAGAGGAGGAGGAGGGUCAGUGAUGUCCGGUAGAAGAGGAUGAGUAGGGCCAGCGAUGUGUGGUAGAGAAAGAGGAGGACAAGGAAGAGGAGGAGGAGGAGGGCCAGAGAUGUCCGUUAGAGGAGGAGGAGGAGGGCCAGCAAUGUAUGGUAGAUGAGGAGGAGGAGGAAGGCCAGCAAUGUCUGGUAGAGGAGGAGGAGUUGGAGAAGGAGGAGGAGGGUCAGCAAUGUCUGGUAGAAGAGGAGGAGGAGGGUCAGUGAUGUCUCGUAGAAGAGGAGGAGGAGUGCCGGUGAUGUACGGUGGAGGAGGAGGAGGGCCACAGAUGUCUGGUAGAAGAGGAGGAGGAGGGACAGCAAUGUAUGGUAGAGGUGAGGAGGAGGAGGGCCAGCAAUGCCUGGUAGAAUAGGAGGAUGAGGAAAAGAGCUAGCGACAUCUGGUAGAUUAGCAGGAUGAGAAGGAGUAGGAGGAGUAGGAGGAAGGUCAGCGAUGUCUGGUUGAAGAGGAGGAGGAGAAGGAGGAGGAGGACUAGGAGGUGGAAGAGGAGGAGGAGGAGGAGAAGUGCCAGGGAUGUCUGGGAGAGAAGGAGUAGGAUGAGCAUGAGGAGGAGGAAAGUCAGCAAUUUCUCCUAGAUGAGGAGGAGGAGGAGUAGGGCCAUGAAUGACUGAUAGGGGAGGAGGGAGAGGAGGAGAAAGAUGUGGAGGAGGGUCAGCAAUAUCUGGUAGGGGAGUCGGAGGAGGAGGGCCAGUGAUGUCUGUUAGAGAAGGAGGAGGAGGAGGAGAAGGGGAGAAGGAGGAAGAGGAAAGGCAGUGAUGUCUGGUAGAGGAGUAGGAGAAGGAGGAAGAGGGCCAGCAAUGUCUGGAGGAGGAGUAGGGGGAGGAGGAGGAAGAGGGUCAGCGAUGUUUGCUAGAAGAGGAGGAGGAGCGCUAUUGAUGUCUGGUGGAGGAGGAGCAUGAGGAGCAGGAGGAGAAGGAGGGCCAGAGAUGUCUGGUAGAGGAAGAGGAGGGACAGCAAUGUAUGGUAGAUGAGAAGGAGGAGGAGGGCCAGCAAUGUUUGGUAGAGAACAAGUAGGGUGAGGAUGAGGAGGGGGAGGAAGGCCAGCAAUGUCUGGUGGACGAGGAGGAGGAGGACCAGCACUAUCUCGUAGGGAGGAGGAGGAGGAGGGUCAGUGAUGUCUGGUAGAGGAGUAGGAGGAGGAGGACAAGAGCCAGCAAUGUCUGGUACAGGAGAAGGAAGAGGAGGAGGAGGAGGAGGAGGAGGAAGAGGAUGGUCUGUGAUGUCUGGUAGAAGAGGAGGAGCAGGGCCAGUGAUGUCUGUUAGAGGAGGAGGAGGAGGAAUAGGAGGAGGAGGAGGGCCAGAGAUGUCCGUUAGAGGAGGAGGAUUAGGGCCAGCAUUGUUUGGUAGAGGAGGG